CGGCCGCGGGAAAUUCGAUUCAGGCCUAACACAUGCACAGUUUGAGCGGACUUUAUAGAAGCUUGCUUCUAUAAAGUUAGCGGCGGACGGGUGAGUAACACGUAGGUAACCUGCCUGUAAGAUUGGGAUAACUCCGGGAAACCGGGGCUAAUACCGAAUAGGCAAUGGAACCGAAUGGUUUCAUUGUAAAAGACGGUGAAAGCUGUCACUUACAGAUGGGCCUGCGGCGCAUUAGCUAGUUGGUAAGGUAAAAGCUUACCAAGGCGACGAUGCAUAGCCGACCUGAGAGGGUGAUCGGCCACACUGGGACUGAGACGCGGCCCAGACUCCUACGGGAGGCAGCAGUAGGGAAUCUUCCGCAAUGGACGCAAGUCUGACGGAGCAACGCCGCGUGAGCGAAGAAGGUUUUCGGAUCGUAAAGCUCUGUUGUGAGGGAAGAACAAGUGUUGGAGUAACUGCCAACAUCGUGACGGUACCUCACCAGAAAGCCACGGCUAACUACGUGCCAGCAGCCGCGGUAAUACGUAGGUGGCAAGCGUUGUCCGGAAUUAUUGGGCGUAAAGCGCGCGCAGGCGGUCCUUUAAGUCUGAUGUGAAAUCUUGCGGCUUAACCGCAAGCGGUCAUUGGAAACUGGGGGACUUGAGUACAGAAGAGGAGAGUGGAAUUCCACGUGUAGCGGUGAAAUGCGUAGAGAUGUGGAGGAACACCAGUGGCGAAGGCGGCUCUCUGGUCUGUCACUGACGCUGAGGCGCGAAAGCGUGGGUAGCGAACAGGAUUAGAUACCCUGGUAGUCCACGCCGUAAACGAUGAGUGCUAGGUGUUGGGGGUAUCCACCCUCAGUGCUGAAGUUAACACAUUAAGCACUCCGCCUGGGGAGUACGGCCGCAAGGCUGAAACUCAAAGGAAUUGACGGGGGCCCGCACAAGCGGUGGAGCAUGUGGUUUAAUUCGAAGCAACGCGAAGAACCUUACCAGGUCUUGACAUCCUUUGACAGCUCUGGAGACAGAGUAUUCUCCUUCGGGAGACAAAGUGACAGGUGGUGCAUGGUUGUCGUCAGCUCGUGUCGUGAGAUGUUGGGUUAAGUCCCGCAACGAGCGCAACCCUUGAGAUUAGUUGCCAGCAUUGAGUUGGGCACUCUAAUCUGACUGCCGCAGACAAUGCGGAGGAAGGUGGGGAUGACGUCAAAUCAUCAUGCCCCUUAUGACCUGAGCUACACACGUGCUACAAUGGAUGGUACAACGGGCAGCGAAGCCGCGAGGUGGAGCGAAUCCCAAAAAGCCAUUCUCAGUUCGGAUUGCAGGCUGCAACUCGCCUGCAUGAAGUCGGAAUCGCUAGUAAUCGCGGAUCAGCAUGCCGCGGUGAAUACGUUCCCGGGC
rnacentral:rRNA from 1 species